GUCUAUUUAGUUUUAUUUAAUAAAAUAUGGUUUUUGUAACACCAAGAAACCUAUUAAGGGUAUUAGACU
rnacentral:tRNA from 1 species